rfam:Pseudomonas cremoricolorata strain ND07, complete genome.
UGUUAUGGCAGCCGUUCGUGGGCAGGCUUCGGCCUGGCCGGAAUUCCGAUGCUCGCCGGUCUCUCACCCCGCGAGCGGCUGCCACCCAG